rnacentral:rRNA from 1 species
UACGUAGGGGGCAAGCGUUGUCCGGAUUUAUUGGGCGUAAAGAGCGUGUAGGCGGCCAGGUAGGUCCGUUGUGAAAACUCGAGGCUCAACCUCGAGACGCCGAUGGAAACCGUCUGGCUAGAGUCCGGAAGAGGAGAGUGGAAUACCUGGUGUAGCGGUGAAAUGCGCAGAUAUCAGGAGGAACACCAAUGGCGAAGGCAGCACUCUGGGACGUGACUGACGCUGAGACGCGAAAGCGUGGGGAGCAAACAGG